GACGAACGCUGGCGGCGUGCCUAAUACAUGCAAGUUGAGCGAUGAAGAUUGGUGCUUGCACCAAUUUGAAGAGCAGCGAACGGGUGAGUAACGCGUGGGGAAUCUGCCUUUGAGCGGGGGACAACAUUUGGAAACGAAUGCUACUACCGCAUAAUAACUUUAAACAUAAGUUUUAAGUUUGAAAGAUGCAAUUGCAUCACUCAAAGAUGAUCCCGCGUUGUAUUAGCUAGUUGGUGAGGUAAAGGCUCACCAAGGCGAUGAUACAUAGCCGACCUGAGAGGGUGAUCGGACACAUUGGGACUGAGACACGGCCCAAACUCCUACGGGAGGCAGCAGUAGGGAAUCUUCGGCGAUGGACGAAAGUCUGACCGAUCAACGCCGCGUGAGUGAAGAAGGGUGUCGGAUCGUAAAACUCUGUUGGUAGAGAAGAACGUUGGUGAGAGUGGAAAGCUCAUCAAGUGACGGUAACUACACAGAAAGGGACGGCUAACUACGUG
rnacentral:rRNA from 1 species